rnacentral:rRNA from 1 species
GACGAACGCUGGCGGCGUGCUUAACACAUGCAAGUCGAACGGAAAGGCCCUGCUUGCAGGGUACUCGAGUGGCGAACGGGUGAGUAACACGUGGGUGAUCUGCCCUGCACUUCGGGAUAAGCCUGGGCAACUGGGUCUAAUACCGGAUAGGAGCCAUUUUUAGUGUGAUGGUUGGAAAGUUUUUUCGGUGUAGGAUGAUCUCGCGGCCUAUCAGCUUGUUGGUGGGGUAAUGGCCUACCAAGGCGGCGACGGGUAGCCGGCCUGAGAGGGUGGACGGCCACAUUGGGACUGAGAGAAGGCCCAGACUCCUACGGGAGGAAGCAGUGGGGAAUAUUGAACAAUGGGCGCAAGCCUGAUGCAGCGGCGCCGCGUGGGGGAUGACGGCCUUCGGGUUGUAAACACCUUUCGCUAGGGACGAAGCUUGUUGUGACGGUACCUAGAUAAGAAGCACCGGCUAACUACGUG